rnacentral:lncRNA from 1 species
AAUAAGUUCCAAGGAUGGGCUCUGCACCAUGCCCUUUGGCCAAGGCUGUCUGAUCGGUUCAGCCUACCACCCAUUGGGGUCUGGUCCUCCUGGUCCAGCUCAGGUUCAGAGCCCUUACUUUGACUUCUUAUCUGUGCUGCUUUUGUGAUCAUGGCCAUCCUCUGAUCUCCACCGUCCUGGAACCAGUCAUGAAAGAAGAGAGGAUAAAGGUGCUUCUCAUGUUUUGCUGUUGCAAUACCACCGCAUUGUGCAACCUUAGUCCCUUGCAAGAUGCUAGAGUCAGAUAGACAUGGCUUCUCCUCCCACGGGGAGGUUGGCUGGAACACAUGGAGAAGGGGAACAUCAGGAGUUGGAUCUGUAAAAGAAGUCUGCAUCAGUGUAUGAGAAAUUAUGACUCCGAGCCACCCCAUUCUGAAAUUAUGGGGCAUUCUAGCAAUAGAGCUGUCCAAAGAGGAGUACCCAGGCAAGCCAAAGUAGCAGGGGAAGGCCUGCUGAGUGGGGAGACCCAGUGGAGUCUUAAAAGAAGGACAAGAACAAAUGAGAGAACUGUACAAAUUUAUUCUAAAUAAAUAAUCAUAAACGCAUAUAAUAAAGACUUACUUGAUGAAGGAGAUAAUGCUAGG